rnacentral:tRNA from 1 species
GCAUCCAUAGCUCUGUGAUAGAGCACUUGUCUUGUAAACCAGGGGUCGUGAGAUCGAUCCCCACUGGGGGCA